rnacentral:misc_RNA from 1 species
GGCAGCCCGUUCUGCAGCUGGAGACAACACACAAAAGGAAUUAUAGAUCAAAAAUCAUUUGUUUCUGAUUUUGUUUCGUCAACAUGGCCACAGAAAGCAACAGCAAUUUCUUUUGCUGGCAAUCACCAGUAAGAAACUGGUUACCACAAUUGCCCACAGAUUGCCUCACAGCAGGCAGACGAGGGAAGGGAGAAAGAAAAUGUAGUAGUUGGCAUACAUGUGAUCUGCCUAAUUUUAAAGGUGAGUGGUUGGUUUUGAUGUUUGUUUAAUUACCGACCAUUAAAAUAUUCGAAAUCUAUCAUCGGUGGUGCUGUGUGAUUGGAGUUAUGCUAGUUGGGUUCAUGUAACCGGUAGUGAUUUUUGUGAGGGGAUGCGUAGGACCACUUUGAAAAGUUGUACAGAAAACACAUUUUUCCAUUGAUAAACUAGAUUGAGAUAAAUAUCUUAAAGACGGUUGUUUGUUGGAUGUUCCAUUGUACCCAGUUGUUGGGUCUGAAUGUUAAAUGUUUUGGCAUGUUCCUUUUUUAUCAAAA